rnacentral:rRNA from 1 species
AGCCAGACUCCUACGGGAGGCAGCAGUGGGGAAUAUUGCACAAUGGGGGAAACCCUGAUGCAGCGACGCCGCGUGAGUGAAGAAGUAUUUCGGUAUGUAAAGCUCUAUCAGCAGGGAAGAAAAUGACGGUACCUGAUUAAGAAGCCCCGGCUAACUACGUGCCAGCAGCCGCGGUAAUACGUAGGGGGCAAGCGUUAUCCGGAUUUACUGGGUGUAAAGGGAGCGUAGACGGUGAUGCAAGUCAGAAGUGAAAGCCCGGGGCUCAACUCCGGGACUGCUUUUGAAACUGUGUGACUGGAGUGCAGGAGAGGUAAGCGGAAUUCCUGGUGUAGCGGUGAAAUGCGUAGAUAUCAGGAGGAACACCAGUGGCGAAGGCGGCUUACUGGACUGUAACUGACGUUGAGGCUCGAAAGCGUGGGGAGCAAACAGGAUUAGAUACCCUUGUACA